GUGCCUACGGGACGCAGCAGUGGGGAAUAUUGGGCAAUGGAGGAAACUCUUACCCAGCAAUGCCGCGUGAAUGAAGAAGGUCUUCGGAUUGUAAAGUUCUUUAAUUGGGGACGAAAAAAAUGACGGUACCCAAGGAAUAAGCCCCGGCUAACUACGUGCCAGCAGCCGCGGUAAUACGUAGGGGGCAAGCGUUGUUCGGAAUGACUGGGCGUAAAGGGUGCGUAGGCGGCCUGCUAAGUCUGGAGUGAAAGGUACCGGCUCAACCGGU
rnacentral:rRNA from 1 species